rnacentral:rRNA from 1 species
AUACGUCGGGGGCGAGCGUUGUCCGGAAUGAUUGGGCGUAAAGGGCGCGUAGGCGGCCCGGUAAGUCUGGAGUGAAAGUCCUGUUUUUAAGAUGGGAAUUGCUUUGGAUACUGUCGGGCUUGAGUGCAGGAGAGGUAAGUGGAAUUCCCAGUGUAGCGGUGAAAUGCGUAGAGAUUGGGAGGAACACCAGUGGCGAAGGCGACUUACUGGACUGUAACUGACGCUGAGGCGCGAAAGUGUGGGGAGCAAACAGGAUUAGAUACCCUGGUAGUCCACACUGUAAACGAUGAAUGCUAGGUGUAGGGGGUAUCGACCCCUUCUGUGCCGCAGUCAACACAAUAAGCAUUCCGCCUGGGGAGUACGGCCGCAAGGUUGAAACUCAAAGGAAUUGACGGGG